UUACUUGGAGUCCGAACUCUCACUUUCUAACCCUGUGCACUUGUUUGGGAUAGUAACUCUCGCAAGAGAGCGAACUCCUAUUCACUUAUAAACACAAAGUCUAUGAAUGUAUUAAAUUUUAUAACAAAAUAAAACUUUCAACAACGGAUCUCUUGGCUCUCGCAUCGAUGAAGAACGCAGCGAAAUGCGAUAAGUAAUGUGAAUUGCAGAAUUCAGUGAAUCAUCGAAUCUUUGAACGCACCUUGCGCUCCAUGGUAUUCCGUGGAGCAUGCCUGUUUGAGUGUCAUGAAUACUUCAACCCUCCUCUUUCUUAAUGAUUGAAGAGGUGUUUGGUUUCUGAGCGCUGCUGGCCUUUACGGUCUAGCUCGUUCGUAAUGCAUUAGCAUCCGCAAUCGAACUUCGGAUUGACUUGGCGUAAUAGACUAUUCGCUGAGGAAUUCUAGUCUUCGGACUAGAGCCGGGUUGGGUUAAAGGAAGCUUCUAAUCAGAAUGUCUACAUUUUAAGAUUAGAUCUCAAAUCAGGUAGGACUACCCGCUGAACUUAAGCAUAUCAA
rnacentral:rRNA from 1 species